rnacentral:tRNA from 1 species
GGGCGGUUAGCUCAGCUGGUAGAGCGUCGGCCUUACAAGCCGAAUGCCACAGGUUCAAGUCCUGUACCGCCCACCA